CCACGUAACUAGCUUUGACAGCCGCAUCACUCUCUUUGCUUGCUUUCUUGAAAAAAUCUUGUUGCCUUAGUAGACAUGUUUUAAGUCUGGCGACCCGGUCCUCUCGCUCAUCUCCCAGGUAUUUUGCAUACUCCUCAGCAUGUUUAGUUGAGUAAUGCCGUCUGAUAUUAUACUCCUUGUGCACCGCAACUUUAUCCGUGCAUAUUAGACACGUUGGGAUGCCCCUGUGCUCAACAAAAAAAUAUUCCGUCUCCCACUUCUCCUGAAAUUGUCUGUGCUCAUCGCCAACUUUUCUCUUCACAGCAAGAAACUUAGAAAAAGACAUGACUGGGGCUGGGUGAAAAAAAACGUAUAGCACUGGGUGACAGGAUAUAUUUUCCCUCCACUCGGUGACAGUCCCGAAAUAUGUUACAAGUGACCAAUUGCUAAUUCGCGUUGUUGUCACGAGCCUGAGCUAUGGUAGUCCACAAGUGUUAAAAAAAAUAGAAAACGCCCAGAUGCAUGUGAGAAAAAAACGCGCGGGCCGCACUUACACCAAGCUUUGAUUUCAGGCAGGGGGCCACAAAAUAUCGUUCCGCGGGCCGCAAUUGGCCCGUGGGCCGCGAGUCUGAGACCCCUGCUUUAGAUAAACCAUCUCAGCCUGAUUGGCGGAAGUGAUGUCAAGGAUACGGUUUGGCGUCUCAUGAAGCACACAAUCUCAAACACCCUGGCAAAGGAAACCAAUUGGAGAGGAGUAAAUGGGAAAAAAUCCAUGGCUUCCCUGCAACUGAAGACAGCUGUAAUCGCUGCCGUACGGAAGAACCCACUGACAUCGAGGGCUUCUGAACGUGAGGUGGAGAUGUUCAUGAAGAGGUGGCUACAGCUGGCAGCGGACAGAGAAGGGGGCAGAAGAAGGCGAGCCCAAAUCCCUUCAUCUCCCUGAACUUGUUGAUUAUUGUUAUAUUGAUUGUUAAGCUCUUCAAUACAUUGUUUUAAAAAUAAGUUUAGCUCCAUGAACUUGUUGGUUAUUGUUAUAUUGAUUGUUAAGCUCUUCAAUACAUUGUUUUAAAAAUAAUUUUAGCUCCAUGAACUUGUUGGUUAUUGUUAUAUUGAUACUUGUUAUAUUGAUUGUUGCUCUAUUCAAUACAUUGAUUUACAAAUACUGUACAAUUUUAAUUAAAGUUGAGUUAAACUUUUAUAUUUGUUUUUGACUUCUAACAGAAAUACACAUGAAUGUAUAUCAACAUAUUUGUGCACUAUCAGGGUAAUUUGUGUUCCUCAAUGUGUUUUUUCCUUUUCUUUGGUCUGUCUUUGUGAAAAGCUGAAAUAUGAUACUGGGUAUUUUUAUAUUUUCUUUAUAUUUUAAACACAUGGCAACAUUUUAGCAUUUAAAAACUGCAGCUCUGUAAAAUUAUAUUAAUAUUAUUAAUUUACAGUAAAAACAAGUAUCACUUUCAGCUUUUAAGAAGCAUGAUGAAAGAAAUGCAAAAAUAAUCUGUGGAACAGAGGUGGGGUGGGAUUUUAGGUCUCCAUGGCAACACGACAACCCAUCAUGCAGCACAUAGGCCAGGUCUGGGCCAGCAGCACAAUCGUAAUCUGAUAGCAGUAUUUGCGCCAGAGCUGGG